rnacentral:rRNA from 1 species
UACGUAGGGGGCUAGCGUUGUCCGGAUUUAUUGGGCGUAAAGAGCGUGUAGGCGGCCUGGUAGGUCUGCUGUGAAAACUCGAGGCUCAACCUCGAGAUGUCGGCGGAAACCAUCUGGCUAGAGUCCGGAAGAGGAGAGUGGAAUUCCUGGUGUAGCGGUGAAAUGCGCAGAUAUCAGGAAGAACACCGAUGGCGAAGGCAGCUCUCUGGGACGGUACUGACGCUGAGACGCGAAAGCGUGGGGAGCGAACAGG